rnacentral:lncRNA from 1 species
AAAGUCUCUCCUUUUCCCUUCUUGAGUCUUGUGAUCCACUGGGCUGAAGCCAGGAUGGGCUGUCCCAUGGAGCAGGGUUACCUGUGUUACCCAUGUAAAGGACCAAUCACGGUAGAAACCAGCUCCCACUAAGAGAGGCUGUCUUUGCUUCAUCAGAAGGAACAAGUAAAUGAAUAAAGAUGCAUGUGGAUUUUCUGAAACAGCUCAAGCAAGGAACUCGGCAUGUAACCUCAAUCAAUUUACUGUUGUUGGGUCAAAGCAUUGCUACCAUCUGGGCAUCCAUACCAGAUUUGGAGAAAGCCCUUGCCAGAGGGCCAGAUGACAAAAGCGCCCUCAUGGCGGUGCUGGAAACAAUCAUUCUGGUGAACUAAGAUGACCUGUGGGCGGACACUGGAGUUCUGCAGAGAUGUUGCAUGUGGGAUGGCUGAUGGAUCACUGUCUAGCCGCCUCUGAUGUGGUCUGUUGCUUUCAGUGGCAACAAGGAAAAUGGGAAAAUGAAAUGUACCGAAGACAGGAAGCGAGGUCAGUCAUUUGGCUGUUACACUGCCAAAGCCCUGUGAAAUACG